rnacentral:misc_RNA from 1 species
UCCGGUUUGUCACCGGCAGUCUCAUUAGAGUGCCCUUUCGUAGCAACUAAGGACAAGGGUUGCGCUCGUUGCGGGACUUAACCCAACAUCUCACGACACGAGCUGACGACGGCCAUGCAGCACCUGUGCGGGCUCCGUAGAGCGCCGGCUUUCACCGGCUUUACCCUGCAUGUCAAGCCCAGGUAAGGUUCUUCGCGUCGCAUCGAAUUAAGCAACAUGCUCCGCCGCUUGUGCGGGGCCCCGUCAAUUCCUUUGAGUUUUAGCCUUGCGGCCGUACUCCCCAGGCGGGGUGCUUAAUGCGUUAGCUUCGGCACGGACGGGGUUGAUAUCCGCCCACACCUAGCACCCAACGUUUACGGCUAGGACUAC